rnacentral:rRNA from 1 species
AAUCAACGCUGGCGGCGUGCCUAACACAUGCAAGUCGAACGCGAAAGUCCCGCAAGGGAUUAGUAGAGUGGCAAACGGGUGAGUAACACGUGGGUGACCUGCCUUCGAGCGGGGAGUAACGUCCCGAAACGGACGCUAAUACCGCAUAACAUCCUGCCUUUUAAGUAGGUGGUGGAUCAAAGCCGGGAGUUCGCAAGAAACCUGGCACUUGAAGGAGGGGCCCGGCCGCCUGAUUAGCUAGUUGGUGGGGAAGUGGCCUACCAAGGCAACGAUCAGUAUCCGGCCUGAGAGGGCGGACGGACACACUGGGACUGAGACACGG